rnacentral:rRNA from 1 species
GAGAGUGUUUUCUCGCCCCCAUGUGGGAAUUGAACCCCCGCCCCAUAUUUUCUAGGGGGGGCCAGCAGUAGGGAUUCUUCCCACAAGGGAAGAAAUUUUUGAAGGAACAACCGCCGCUUGAAUGAAAGAAGGGUUCUGGCCUAGAAAAACUUUGUUUUUAAAGAAGAACAUUUCUGAGAGUAACUGUUCAGGUAUUGACGGUAUUUAACCAGAAAGCCAGGGCUAACUACGUGCCAGCAGCCGCGGUAAUACGUAGGUGGCCAGCGUUGUCCGGAUUUAUUGGGCGUAAAGCGAGCGCAGGCGGUUUUUUAAGUCUGAUGUGAAAGCCUUCGGCUCAACCGAAGAAGUGCAUCGGAAACUGGGAAACUUGAGUGCAGAAGAGGACAGUGGAACUCCAUGUGUAGCGGUGAAAUGCGUAGAUAUAUGGAAGAACACCAGUGGCGAAGGCGGCUGUCUGGUCUGUAACUGACGCUGAGGCUCGAAAGUAUGGGUAGCAAACAGGAUUAGAUACCCUGGUAGUCCAUACCGUAAACGAUGAAUGCUAAGUGUUGGAGGGUUUCCGCCCUUCAGUGCUGCAGCUAACGCAUUAAGCAUUCCGCCUGGGGAGUACGGCCGCAAGGCUGAAACUCAAAGGAAUUGACGGGGGCCCGCACAAGCGGUGGAGCAUGUGGUUUAAUUCGAAGCUACGCGAAGAACCUUACCAGGUCUUGACAUACUAUGCAAAUCUAAGAGAUUAGACGUUCCCUUCGGGGACAUGGAUACAGGUGGUGCAUGGUUGUCGUCAGCUCGUGUCGUGAGAUGUUGGGUUAAGUCCCGCAACGAGCGCAACCCUUAUUAUCAGUUGCCAGCAUUAAGUUGGGCACUCUGGUGAGACUGCCGGUGACAAACCGGAGGAAGGUGGGGAUGACGUCAAAUCAUCAUGCCCCUUAUGACCUGGGCUACACACGUGCUACAAUGGAUGGUACAACGAGUUGCGAACUCGCGAGAGUAAGCUAAUCUCUUAAAGCCAUUCUCAGUUCGGAUUGUAGGCUGCAACUCGCCUACAUGAAGUCGGAAUCGCUAGUAAUCGCGGAUCAGCAUGCCGCGGUGAAUACGUUCCCGGGCCUUGUACACACCGCCCGUCACACCAUGAGAGUUUGUAACACCCAAAGUCGGUGGGGUAACCUUUAGGAACCAGCCGCCUAAGUGAACAGAGUGGGA